UUCGCAAUGCCCGAAAGGGUGACGAAGCGACGCCGCGUGGGUGAGGAAGGCCUUCGGGUUGUAAAGCCCUGUCAGGAGUUAAGAAAUGUAAGUGCGCUAAUACCGCAUUUACUUGACGAAGGCUCCAAAGGAAGCCACGGCUAACUCUGUGCCAGCAGCCGCGGUAAUACAGAAGUGGCAAGCGUUGUUCGGAAUUAUUGGGCGUAAAGAGCACGUAGGUGGGUUUGUAAGUCAGAUGUGAAAGCCUUCUGCUCAACGGAAGAAUUGCAUCUGAAACUGCAAAUCUUGAGUAUAGGAGGGGAGAAUGGAACUUCUGGUGGAGCGGUGAAAUGCGUAGAUAUCAGAAGGAACGCCGGCGGCGAAAGCGAUUCUCUGGUCUAUUACUGACACUCAGUGUGCGAAAGCUAGGGGAGCAAACGGGAUUAGAUACCCCGGUAGUCCUAGCUGUAAACGAUGGGCACUAAGUAGAGGGGUUUU
rnacentral:rRNA from 1 species